CGCGUAGGCGGUUCUUUAAGUCAGAUGUGAAAGCCCGGGGCUCAACCCCGGAAGUGCAUUUGAAACUAAAUUACUUGAGUAUGGGAGAGGGAAGUGGAAUUCCUGGUGUAGAGGUGAAAUUCGUAGAUAUCAGGAGGAACACCGGUGGCGAAGGCGACUUCCUGGACCAAUACUGACGCUGAGGCGCGAAGGCGUGGGGAGCAAACA
rnacentral:rRNA from 1 species